GAUGAAGAACGCAGCGAAAUGCGAUAAGUAAUGCGAAUUGCAGAAUUCCAGUGAGUCAUCGAAUCUUUGAACGCACCUUGCGCCCUUUGGCUAUUCCGAAGGGCAUGCCUGUUUGAGUAUCAUGAACACCUCAACUCUUCACGGCUUGCCGUGAUGAGUUUGGACUUUGGGGGUCUUGCUGGCCUACGAGCCAGCUCCUCUCAAAUGUAUUAGCUUGCCGGUGUUUGGUGGCAUCACAGGUGUGAUAACUAUCUACGCUUGUGGUUUUCCACUAGGUAACCUUCAGCAAUGGAGGUUCACCGGAGCUCACAAAUGUCUCUCCUUGCCAAGGACAGAUUUUGACCAUUUGAUCUCAAAUCGGGUAGGACUACCCGCUGAACUUAAGCAUAUCAAUAAGCGGAGGA
rnacentral:misc_RNA from 1 species